rnacentral:lncRNA from 1 species
UCCAGGUCUGCUGAGUCAGGCAGAAUUAACCCCAGGUGAUUUGUGUGCAGAGUACAAUUUGAGACGUGCUGCCUUGCGUGACCAGGUGAUCUGAGUUUACUUCUAGCGCUAAGACCCAACUUUCUCUAAGAUUAUCUUACUUCCAAAGGAAAAAGGAGUGAUGACUGCAGUGAUUGGGCCACUGAAGGAGCCUGUCCAGAGAAACAAGAAAUCAGCUUUGUGGACUACUGUAACCAAAUCAAGGUCAGAGUUGGCUACUCUCUGAGGCUUUCUGUCAUGAAUCUGCUGGCGGCCUCUCAGGGCAGAGACCCUGACCUCGCAUGUAGAUCCAGAUUCUUGCCAAUGCCCAGACAGAUGGGGGUCCCUGUGUGAGGAAAGGAGCACUCAGUGUGGGUCCUGCUACCUCCUGAAUCCUUUUCCACCUUCUGUGGCACCUGCUAUUUUGCUGCUGAGGUUUCUUCUGGGCCUAUAUGACAUGCCCGUAAUUUUGAGCUUCCUUUGAAGUUAAGAGGAGGUCAUCUGACAACUUCUACUGAAUGAAUUCUGUGAAGAAAUGGCAUAUGUUAUGUAUGGGCCAAAGAAGUGUAGAACUAGUGUGCCUCUUCCAUCUUUCUUUUUCAACCAUGGCAACCUGGGAAUUCACAUAUUGAGAUGGCAGUUUCACCAGAUGGAGGAGGUUUGGAUCCCUGAGUCACCAGAUGGAGGCAAGCUCUGGCCAACUUGCAUUGGAGUUCAUACAAAGUGAUUCAACAAAUGAAUUUCGCAGUACCACAUCUGCCACCUCCUGAUUUGUGCACUUCUUGCUGCCACCAUGUGAAGAAGGAUGUGUUUGUUACCCCUU